rnacentral:rRNA from 1 species
AACGAACGCUGGCGGCGUGCUUAACACAUGCAAGUCGAACGAGAAAGGGACUUCGGUCCUGAUUAGAGUGGCGCACGGGUGAGUAACACGUGGGUAAUCUACCCUUGAGUUGGGGAUAACCUGUCGAAAGAUGGGCUAAUACCGAAUGAUAUUGCUUUUCAUUAAGGAGAGUAAUUAAAGAUUUAUCGCUUGGGGAUGAGCCCGCGUCUGAUUAGCUAGUUGGUGGGGUAAUGGCCUACCAAGGCGACGAUCAGUAGCUGGUCUGAGAGGAUGAUCAGUCACACUGGAACUGGAACACGGUCCAGACUCCUACGGGAGGCAGCAGUGGGGAAUAUUGCGCAAUGGGGGAAACCCUGACGCAGCGACGCCGCGUGGGUGAGGAAGGUUUUAGGAUCGUAAAGCCCUGUCAAGUGGGAAGA